GACGAACGCUGGCGGCGUGCUUAACACAUGCAAGUCGAACGCUGAAGCUCAGCUUUUGUUGGGUGGAUGAGUGGCGAACGGGUGAGUAACACGUGAGUACCUGCCUCCUUCUUUGGGAUAACGCCCGGAAACGGGUGCUAAUACUGGAUAUUCACUGGUCUUCGCAUGGGGGUUGGUGGAAAGGGUUUUUCUGGUGGGGGAUGGGCUCGCGGCCUAUCAGCUUGUUGGUGGGGUGAUGGCCUACCAAGGCUUUGACGGGUAGCCGGCCUGAGAGGGUGACCGGUCACAUUGGGACUGAGAUACGGCCCAGACUCCUACGGGAGGCAGCAGUGGGGAAUAUUGCACAAUGGGCGCAAGCCUGAUGCAGCGACGCCGCGUGAGGGAUGGAGGCCUUCGGGUUGUGAACCUCUUUCGCUCAUGGUCAAGCCGCAACAAUGGUUGUGGUGAGGGUAGUGGGUAAAGAAGCGCCGGCUAACUACGUG
rnacentral:rRNA from 1 species